GGCGAUCUGGGAGCGCAGAGCAACGCUGCUCAACAUUAUCGUGAACCGACCAAGGAGUGAAGGAGGGCUGAACUUUAAAGCCAGAGAAGCGGCUCGGUGGGUCCCGCGUCAGGGAGGUGGAUCUCUUGAUGUAUUUUGAGGUUACCAAGCACCGUGAAGUUUUUACCGCACUGCCUGCAGCUGUACGGCUUCAGCCCGCUAUGGAACCGCUCGUGUCUGAGGCAGUUGUCCUGCCUUGAAAACAUCUUACCGCAGAUUUUGCAACUAAACGGCCUCUCCCCGGUGUGCACGCUUUGGUGCGUCCUCAGCCGGGUCUUCUGGGUGAAAGAUUUCCCACACUCGAGGCACCUGAAUCGUUUGGAGGGUUGGUGGGCGGCUACGUGUUUCUCCAA